GUGUUGGAGGUGGAGAGAACGCUGUGCACGGUGUCCCACAAGGCAUUUGGACAUCAGGAGCGGUGCUGGGCUGCCGCUGCUCAGUGGACAUGGAUGAGGAAUGUGGCGUCUCUGGGGUGGUCCAAGCAUCAUCAUCACAGCCUGUGCAUCAGCACGGGGCUGGAUUGGAAGUGGAGUAACUGGGACACGAACCGGCACCCACACGGGAGCUACCCACUACGCCACCAUGCAGGUUCCCGAAGCGGUCUCAUUGUACCUUCCCACCCGGAGUCUACCUGGAGCACCCCUUUGCUGGCAGGUCCCCAGGACUUCCUAAGGCACACGAAGUGGCCGCUCUGUGAGCCCAGCUGAUGGGAGCAGUGAAGGAAGGAGAAAGAAGACUGGGUGGAUGUGCCCUAGCCUGGCCUGCCAUGGAGUCUACGGAAGGUUUGGCAAAACUACUGAGAGUUCCUGAGGCAAAGCUGUUGACAAAGGGGUCCCCAAGUCAUUGGUGGAGAACAGCCCAUGAGCUCAUGGGCUCCUGCAAAGGCAGCCAUGGAUUUCAAAGCAUGGCAGCCAUGGCCUUGUUCAGUUACCAAAGUGCAUUUAGUACUAAGGAGUCUGCGAGGUGCAUUACCAUGGCCACCCACAGGAGAGAGCGAGAGCGAGAGUGAGAACGAGAGCAAGAGCGAGAGCGAAAGCGAGAGAGAGAGAGAGAGACAAAGUGAGCCCCGUGGGCAGAGGCCCCCUAUCAGUGCACUGAUAGGGGGAGCCACAAGAUGGAAGAAUGCAAAGCAAUAGGUGACAAAAGGACUGGGACUACAGAAUUGUUGGAAAUUACAAAAGACAAUCUCAUUCAUGUUUCUCGAGAGAUACAGAGUGCUAAUUCCCUUUUAUUACUUUUGGCUACCUGGGCUAUGCGCCUUCCCAGGCAACUUUCAGAAUCUGAGAUAGACUGUAUGUAGAAUCUGAGGCUGUCUUCAGUGUUCAGCAAAUUGCUUGAUAAACACAGUGCCU